rnacentral:lncRNA from 1 species
GCUGGGCAUCUGUUGGGGCACUAUGCAAAUGUCCUGCCUUUGAGUCGAGCUGUUUGGUUAUAUUUUUCUAUAGUAUCUUUAAAGGUCAGUGUUUGCUUUGUAGCAGACUCUACAGCCUUGGAACAUGCAAUAAGAAAUCAUUUUCUCCUCUAGAGCUUUUGUAGUUCUGAAAAUGACUUCCCAUCAGUUAAAAAAAAAAAAAAAAACUUUGCCUCUCUUCAGUGCAUCUCCGCAAGAGCAGCUGAGGUAAUGAGUGCUCCUUGCUUGCAGCUAUCUUUCCAAAGGCAGCCACCAAAAUAAGGGAAAGCAUUCAUCAGUGAAACUGAACUAGAUGCCAGCAGCUACGUUGGCACCGUCAAGCAGAGACGGACAGCGGAGUUCCUGCUGACACAAGGCAGAAGCCAAGGAGGGUGACUGACACUAAGAAGAUUGUGGUUGAUUUUUGGAGCUAGCAGCCAAAUGAAUAUUGCAGAUAAACACACUGUCAACUCUGUCCUUAUGAUCCUGACAUCGACUUCAGUUCUAAACUUGGAAAGAUGCACUUAGACACACAAAGCUCUUUUGGAAUGACGUUAUUUUAAAAGGGGGUGAAACAAUAAUUGAUCUCCCAAUAAAAUUCUAUUUGGACAUUCACUGCACUGUGGGACAGACAAAGAAGUAUUUAAUUUUCAUCGUAUAAAUUUAAUCCUUAUGAAGAUGUUGAGGUCACUAUAGCACCCAUGUUUACAGAUAUGGAAACUGAGGCUACGUGAGGUCAGGUCCGUUUGGCAUGAUGACCUAAAUUCUUCUUCCCCAUUUCCAAACUACAUAUCUGUAGUCUGUGCUUCACCCAUACAAC